GGGCCCGCACAAGCAGUGGAGCAUGUGGUUUAAUUCGAUGCAACGCGAAGAACCUUACCUAGGCUUGAAAAGUCAGAUGACCGGAUACGAAAGUAUCCUUCCAGCAAUGGCAUCUGCACAGGUGCUGCAUGGCUGUCGUCAGCUCGUGCCGUGAGGUGUUGGGUUAAGUCUCGCAACGAGCGCAACCCCUACUAUUAGUUGCCAUCAGGUUAUGCUGGGCACUCUAAUGGGACUGCCUACGCAAGUAGUGAGGAAGGUGGGGAUGACGUCAAGUCAGCAUGGCCCUUACGUCUAGGGCUACACACGUGCUACAAUGGGUGCUACAACGGGUUGCUAAGCCGCAAGGUGGAGCCAAUCCCUAAAAGGCAUCCUCAGUUCAGAUUGUAGUCUGCAACUCGACUACAUGAAGCUGGAAUUGCUAGUAAUCGCGCAUCAGCACGGCGCGGUGAAUACGUUCCCGGGCCUU
rnacentral:rRNA from 1 species